GAUGAACGCUGGCGGCGUGCCUAAUACAUGCAAGUCGAGCGAACGGACGAGAAGCUUGCUUCUCUGAUGUUAGCGGCGGACGGGUGAGUAACACGUGGAUAACCUACCUAUAAGACUGGGAUAACUUCGGGAAACCGGAGCUAAUACCGGAUGAUAUUUUGAACCGCAUGGUUCAAAAGUGAAAGACGGUCUUGCUGUCACUUAUAGAUGGAUCCGCGCUGCAUUAGCUAGUUGGUAAGGUAACGGCUUACCAAGGCAACGAUGCAUAGCCGACCUGAGAGGGUGAUCGGCCACACUGGAACUGAGACACGGUCCAGACUCCUACGGGAGGCAGCAGUAGGGAAUCUUCCGCAAUGGGCGAAAGCCUGACGGAGCAACGCCGCGUGAGUGAUGAAGGUCUUCGGAUCCUAAAACUCUGUUAUUAGGGAAGAACAUAUGUGUAAGUAACUGUGCACAUCUUGACGGUACCUAAUCAGAAAGCCACGGCUAACUACGUG
rnacentral:rRNA from 1 species